rnacentral:rRNA from 1 species
UUUCGAGAGAGAAAAAAAAAUUACAAGUCUCCGUAGGUGAACCUGCGGAAGGAUCAUUAUUGAAAACAUUGUAAAGGAGGUUUUGAGCUGGCUCUUCUUAGAGACAUGUGCUCGCCGACUUUCAAUCUUCAUCCACCUGUGAACCUUUUGUAGUGGAUUCUAAACGAGAGACACGUUCCUACUUCUCAGUGCGGAAAUCUCACUACCUCACAUCACCUGUGGAGUAAUAAAAAGUAACAAGGUUUCCGUAGGUGAACCUGCGGAAGGAUCAUUACCGAGUUUUCGAGCUCCGGCUCGACUCUCCCACCCUUUGUGAACGUACCUCUGUUGCUUUGGCGGCUCCGGCCGCCAAAGGACCUUCAAACUCCAGUCAGUAAACGCAGACGUCUGAUAAACAAGUUAAUAAACUAAAACUUUCAACAACGGAUCUCUUGGUUCUGGCAUCGAUGAAGAACGCAGCGAAAUGCGAUAAGUAAUGUGAAUUGCAGAAUUCAGUGAAUCAUCGAAUCUUUGAACGCACAUUGCGCCCCUUGGUAUUCCGGGGGGCAUGCCUGUUCGAGCGUCAUUACAACCCUCAAGCUCUGCUUGGAAUUGGGCACCGUCCUCACUGCGGACGCGCCUCAAAGACCUCGGCGGUGGCUGUUCAGCCCUCAAGCGUAGUAGAAUACACCUCGCUUUGGAGCGGUUGGCGUCGCCCGCCGGACGAACCUUCUGAACUUUUCUCAAGGUGACCUCGGAUCAGGUAG